CGUACACGGUGGAUGCCUAGGCAGUCAGAGGCGAUGAAGGACGUGCUAAUCUGCGAUAAGCGCCGGUAAGGUGAUAUGAACCGUUAUAACCGGCGAUUUCCGAAUGGGGAAACCCAGUGUGAUUCGUCACACUAUCAUUACCUGAAUACAUAGGGUAAUGAAGCGAACCGGGAGAACUGAAACAUCUAAGUACCCCGAGGAAAAGAAAUCAAACGAGAUUCCCCCAGUAGCGGCGAGCGAACGGGGAGCAGCCCAGAACCUUAAUCACUAUCAGCAUCAGGAGAACAGUCUGGAAAGGCUGGCCGCAGCAGGUGAUAGCCCUGUAUCYGAAGGUGUUGGUAGUGUGAGUUCGAUGAGUARGGCGGGACACGUGUUAUCCUGUCUGAAUAUGGGGGGACCAUCCUCCAAGGCUAAAUACUCCUGACUGACCGAUAGUGAACCAGUACCGUGAGGGAAAGGCGAAAAGAACCCCG
rnacentral:rRNA from 1 species